rnacentral:rRNA from 1 species
CGGUGAAUACGUUCCCGGACCUUGCACACACCGCCCGUCAAGCCAUGGAAGCUGGGUGUACCUAAAGUCGGUAACCGUAAGGAUCCGCCUAGGGUAAAACUAGUCGACUCGGGGCU